GUUCUGCCCGAAGGUUCCGCCAUUUCGAAGCACCGUUCAACGCCGAAACCACCAUUGACAUGGGUUUUAAAGCUUCCUGUCGUUUGUUUCACUACAACCUCCGUUUGGAAGCACUGUCGUAGGUGAAAACCACCAUUGAAGACGAAAAAACAUAGUUUGUAUCAGAUAGAAGAAGCAAAAAUUCGAACUUGAGUAAACCUCCAAAGUGCUAAAGCAGAGGCUAGAUCAAGAAAGCUCGAGCGUUUUCUGUUUCAGCCACCUAGAAGCGCUCGUCUUCAUUGAAGUGUGGUCGGACUGUCGCCGUUGAAGUUGGUCGG
rnacentral:sRNA from 1 species